ensembl:lncRNA
CAAUGCACGUUAUGUGCUUAUUAUGUAAAGCCCAGAAAAGCGCAAGGGAACUAACAUUUGUUAAACACCUGCUAUGUGACAGGUACUGGACUGGGCUCUUCCUACUACAUUGUCUCCUAUCUCCCCCACUCCUCUUAAUGGUAUAGAAUAACCUCAUCACCUCAGCACGCUCAGGUAACUUGUUCAGGACACUCAUUCAUUGGUUCAUCAGAUGUUUGCUGAGCAGCUACUAUGAGUCAGACACUUAGCAUGGCCCUGGGGAUAGUAAGAUGAUUGAGACAUGGGCCCCUCAUGGAGCUGAAAUUCUAGAAAGGGUAACCAAUAAUAGUCAAGUGAACAAGAUAGGAAUAAUAUCGUAGGGCAUGUGAAAAGUGCCAUGAAGGCAACGAGUAGGGUGAAGUCACAGAAUACCUGUGGGUGGAUCCACCCUUAAAUUAAAUUAGUCAGAGAGGGUGAGAUGGAGGCUCGCUGACACCUGAAGGAAGCCAACUGAAGAGCAGUGGUGUGUGGGGCGGGGUGGCAUCCCAGGCAUUGCUGGACAGGAACGCGGUCAGAAUUGCUUUGCUACAGUCACAUUGGAGCUGCCUGUGCGGUGGAGGCAUCUCAAGGAGGCAGGUGGAUGUCCCAGUAUGAAACUCAAAGAAAGGGUCUGCCAUGGAGAUGUGAAGUUGGGAGUCAAUCAGCGGAAAGAUGGGAAUUAAAGACACAGGAAUGAUGAGACCAUCUGGAGAGAGACUCAUAGACAGAGGGUAGAGCCCAGGACUGAGACCUGAAGACGGCAGGCACUGGAGAAGGUCAACAGGAGCAGUACCUGCAAAGGAAGCUGAGGAGGAGGAGGAGAACCAGGAGAGAUGGGUGUCACAGAAACCCAGCUAGUGCAUGACAGGGCUGGAGUUCAGAAUCGGCGUCUACGUCCAUUGCCCUUGCUUGCUCAUGGCAAUUUGGCUCAUCUGGUGCAUUUGGAGAGUUAAACGGUAGUGCUAUGCAGCUGUAUCACACUCUAUUAAUCACGUUGGCAUACGUUAGCUCAGCUGAUCCUUAUGAGUUUGGAAAGCGAGCAAGGCAGGUGUUACCUGUUUGACCGGUGAGGACACUGAUGCUCAGAGAAAUGAAGUAACUAUUAAAUGAUGGAACUGGGACCUGAGCCUAAGUCCUCAGACUGCUGGCUGAGUAUCUUUCCUGCUUAGUCAAAACCCUUAGAGAUCAUUUUUAUGGCUCCUUUGUCAUCAUCAAAAAAUGUGUCUUUUUAAAAAAGCAUCUGCUGCAUGAAACAGUGUGCAAAAAGAAUUAUUCAGUUGUUGCAAAUUACUGAUCAGAGGGUUCUCUGUGACAAACGGAGGCAAAGUAAGAGGACCCAUUCUAAUGCCAGAGAUCUGGACCUGGAGAAACUGAGAAAGAAUAUAGUUAUGGAUAUUUCCCAAAAAAACUCAUGCAUUUUAUUUUUCUUGACCUACAAUCUGCCAAUCAGAGCUCCCAAAGCUUUCUCUCGACACCCUGGCUUCCGAUGCACCAUUUUAAUGACUUUAGGAAGACUAAUGGUUGGCUGCCGAAAAACCUGGGAAAGACUCUUCAGCCUCAGGAACUGAGGGAAACACAAGGAGCCACUGACCUGAAAUGUAGUCCAAUGUUGCUGAAAGAGAAAAACCCCAUCUCAAAACCAUCUUGUAGUUUGAGGGGGCUGUAUCCUCCAAACACAGGAAGAGAUGACAGUCAUUGUGGAGGGAUGGGUGGUCUAGGACAGAGGAAGUCCACUUUCAAUCAUGUGGAAGAAAUCCAGCCACCCUGAGGCAGCCGUCGGGGAGACAGGGAGGGUCCCAAGGAGCCCAGCCGUUUGCGUCUUCCCAGAUGUGGGGAUAAAUAGUUCUCUGAGAUGGCUCCAGUUUCAGCUACCCUCUGACUGCACCUGCAGAAGAAACUCGGGCGAGAACUGCCUAGCAGAGCCCCAUUAACCCCCAGAUUCAUGAGCAAAAUAAUCGUCACAGGUUUAAGCCACACUUUGGGGGUGGAGGGGUUUACACAUGCAUAGAUAAAUAGACAACUGUUAAACCCCACCACAUCCCCAACGUGCACAAACACACACAUACGCAACUUUGGUAUUUAAGAAGCAUUUAUUGAUUAAUUUCAAUGAGAAAGCCGCUGUUAUAGGUUCUAUAGAUAUAAAGCUGGGGCGGAAAACCCCAAAACGUGAUUUCUCCCUUAAGAGGCGUACAAACUAGUAAGAAAAAAAGACCAAAAACAAACAAAACAAACCCCCAUGAACACAAGGUUAAAAGUGCAGUGAUAAAAGCUCGCGAGGUUUUACAGACACAGAGAUGGGGCUCCUAAACCAACCUGAAGAAUGGCUGGAGGAGGUUUUAGCUGAGCUGAGUCUCAAAGAAGAAGAAGGUAGGAGUCAGGAGAAGAGGCAGGAGAAUGGGGGUGAGCAGACGGCAUCAGAAAGGCACCAAAGGAACACGCACAUGCAGUGUGGGCAGGGUCAACCCCUUAGGGUGGCUGGAAAUGAUGCUGGAGAGGCAGACAGGGUCGUGUCACUGAGAGCUCACUAAGCUGGUGAGAGGCGUGGACUGAAUCCCCCAGGAUCCAUCAAUGUUGCAGCAGGGGUGUGGCGUGGUCACAUCUGAGUUUAGAACAGGCCUCUUUAGCAGCUGGCUACUGAAUGGCUUGAGGGGAG